GUAACUGAUCUUGACACAGGUUUUGAUAGAGGUGGUCAGCUAGUGAAGAGGUCUCUACGUAAUCACGUCACGUAGCCUCAUCUAGUUGCUUCCCUACUGAAUUUGAAUCGUGGGAAAGCAAAAUAAGAAAAUUAUAAGAAAAGGCAAUCGAAAUGGUCAUUUUUCAAGACCAAAAAUCCAGAGAAAGAUGGUGAACCAAACCCAAAACGAGCCAGAGAACUGCAAGAGCCGGAGGAGAGGAGUGAGGGGCAAACUAUUCCUGAUGGCGAUGCUAUAAUCCCUCCAGUUCAGCAUCACAACCGGCACCUCCACUAGCUAGGAGGGGAGGGGCAGUGCAUCCACCAACAAAGUACUCGGAGAAGAUGCAAUUUGCUCUUCAAGAACAAGCAAACGUAUAACCCCUGGCUUGUCAUGCAGAAUUCAAAGUUGGGCUGUACAAAUGCACAAAUGUCGGGUCUAGAAAUUACCGGAGGUAUUAAACUAGCAAAAGAGUGGGUGGAAUGUACAGUACAUUAAUAUCCUAUGCAUCAGGCGUAUAAAAACAACAACAAAGAGCCCAACCAAGGCACAUUUUAGCAAGCCUUGUAGACGAGGCUAAAGGGGACAUCCAAGUUAACACUCAAAAUGAAGAAAAAAGGACACUACAAGGCUUUGAGCAGGAAGUUGACUCGCAGGAGUUAAAUGGAUUUGACAUGGGGAGAGUCAUUGUGGCAGGUUUUGAGAACUAAGGGAAAUGGGUCGGUUGGAGAUUUGUCCUUGCCUGAGGUCAUCCAUUUACUGCUGAAGGACCGGCAAGACCUGGAGCUGCUAGAGACCAUACUGACGUCCAGAAGCAACUUGUAAGCACAAACAGAACUUUAACACAUAAGGCAUUUACAUGAAAUAUAUGACAUUGUCAAAGACACCAGCCACCCCAGUCAAAUACUGUUCCCUCUACUACCCCAUGGCAAGCGGUACCGGAGUGCCAAGUCUAGGACAAAAAGGCUUCUCGACAGUUUUUACCCCCAAGCCAUAAGACUCCUGAACAGGUUUCUGUCUGUAAAGGGGGCCAAGAAGAAGGUGUGCAGGGGAGAACUGUACCAGAGCAUCAAGUCUCUGACCAUCAGGCUCAAAGCCAGCUUCUUCUCCCAAGCCAAAAGACUGUUCAACAGCUGAACCCCGGGCUGACUACCACACACUUAGCAUUAAUCAUAUUCUGUACACACUGGAAUUACUAUAGUGUACCAGACCACUGCAAUAGUCAUGUUACCUUAACUCCUGUACAUGCUCAUCAUUUGAACUAUGCUGCUACUAAUGCACUGCGCUGUAUUUGCUCAUAUUACCCCACUCACUAUGCGCAUGAAUAAACAUGGACUUUUUUGAUCUUAUUCUAUUUUAUUAGAAUGUUUUUUUAGUGUUUAAAAACAUUAUUUGUACUAUUACUAUAUUUUAUAUUUACUGUCACUUAUUUGAUUGUUCACUUUUGUCACUAUUACAUUGUGUGAGAAGCCUGCCAGUUCUAUAUGACCAAUACAAUUUAAUUGAAUUUAUUUGUUGUCGCCUGUGUACCCAGAUCCUGAAAUCAUUUCGCCCACACAUAAUAAUUUAAAGUACUUUUCCAAAAAUAUGUUUUCAUGCUUUUGCCAUGACAUCCAAUAUAUAGAAAAUAUAAUAAAAAUCUGUGAUGGGGAGCAGGCAUGUCUCUGGCUUGACACGGAGUUAAGAGGCUUGCCCCAAGGGGCAGCUGUGGUGUGACUAAAAACAUCCUGUCGUGGGCCCUCUAUCUGUUUAGCUGACAGGCAGAUCUGCUGUCACACCGCAGAGCCAUUACUCUGUCCACCAAGUGCUCUUUGGUGGGAAUAUCACAUCUGGCAAUAUCUGAGAAAGUAGAUGGCUAGGUUGUUAAGUCAACUUUGGCUGAUAGUUAGCUGUGUAAUUGAUAUCUAACCAUACAUUUUAUGUACAAGGUUUAUGAACUCUGUGAAUGGCUGGCGUAAUUGUCCUUCCCUCAAUAAUAAGAGCUGAUGAAUAAAGUAUAGACCUACAGAAAGCGGAGACAGUUUUCUCUUCAACAGUAGCAAAAUUGAUUUGCUUGAAACAAUGUUUUUCCCCUGAUUGCAUUUUGAAAUGUUGUGCAACCAGAAAGCAUUUUUCUCUCCCACUAUUCGAGCACACAAAGGAGAGAGAGUGGAAGUGAACUGUCAAUAGGCUACAAAGCAGCAAGAAGUGGAGUCUAGACAACUCUCUGAUUGACCAGUGGGCCAUGUAGAAAUGUUUUGGAAGCCUCUUAUUCAUUCAACCAGUCUGAAUAAAAAAGAAGCCGUCCACCCUUGAUGGGUGAUUAGCAGGACAAUGGAAUCUUGUGGAGAUGAGAACAUGUGACAAGUAUUGAGGGUGCCCUAAACAACUGAAAUUCUGACUAAAUGUGUUGUUCUGACUAAAUGUUUUUAAGAAUGUAACUGUAAUCCAAGAUCCAAGUAAAAAAUGUUUUAAAGUAAUCCAGGUUGAUUACAGUUAUUCUUAAAAACAUCUGAUUUCAUCUAAAAUUUGAUCAGGGUUGGGUUGUAAGAGAUUACAUAUAAAUCAGGAUUACAUAAUCCAAUUACAAAAAUUAAGUAACUGUAACGUUCGUCGUCUUCCUCCUCUGAUGAGGAGUAAGAGAGAUCGGAUCAAUUUGCAGCGUGGUAAGUGUCCAUUUUAAUAAGUCAAACUGAACACUACAACAUACAAAAUAACAAAGUGAAAACAAACUAAACGGUCCUGUGUGGUAACAAACACUAACAUGGAAAAUAAUCACCCCACCACUCAAAAGUGAAACCAGACUACCUAAAUAUGGUUCUCAAUCAGGGACAACGAUAAACAGCUGCCUCUGAUUGAGAACCAUACCAGGCCAAACACAGAAAUCCCAAAACAUAGAAAAAGGAACAUAGACAACCCACCCAACUCACGCCCUGACCAUACUAAAACAAAGACAUAAUAAAAGAACUAAGGUCAGAACGUGACAGUAACUGUAAUCCGAGUAGACUUUUUUUUUUAAAGUAAUCCAGUUACUUAAUUUUUGUAAUCCAGAUUUAUACAUAAUCUGUUACAACCCAACCCUGAUCACACAUUUAAAUACACAUGCAACAACAUUGACAAGACAUAGUAAAACACACACAUACACACUCAGUAAAUCAGGUCAGAGUAUAAGAAAGUACAGAUCUUAGGGCAACAUGGUUAAGA